UUCUUUUCCACUUCUCUCUCAGAGGAAAUUUUUCCCUGAACCAGUUUCUGUUGAAAAGGCUUAUACCCCAUCUCCUAGACAACGGCAACCUGCAAAUAAAAAUUCUCAAUGUCAAAAAUGUCAGGGAAAUGGAAAAAGAAAAAUACUAGGGAGAAAACAUCAGACAUCCCUUAUGAGAACCUAUGGAUACUGACUGGCUUUAGCAGCUACAUUAAGAAAAUGAUGACACAUGCUAUAGCACUGCUCUUGCCACUUCUCCUUGGGCUGGAAUGAAAGUGAAGAUUGUGUGAUCAGCUUGUGUGGUACUUACUUGUUGGCUGGGAUUAGACCAAAACAUCAGGUCUGACAGAGGAAGAGGAGAAUCUGGUGGAAGACAAUGCAGCAGUCCUGUCUUUAUUUCUGAACAACUCUGUCUUUUCAUAACAGAUAACAUAAAACAACACUAUGGGGUUGAGUGUAGGAUGAUGCACAGACUAAUCAUGAUCCGCCUGAUAACAAGCACUGCAUCCCUGUUGCUUCAAGUGACUUGUUCUACAGGUUUCCUAGGAGUUUUGAAAGUUGCUUUAUUUGAAAGACUUCAUAUUUGUUAUGUGUAACUCUUAGAUUUCCUAAAGUUUUUUUAUUCUGCCUUUGAAUAUUUACAAGUCCUGUUAUCUUUACCAAUAUUAGUAAGAAGACCAAAAUUUGAUUGAGAACUCCUUGGUUAUAACACUCCAUAUUCAUGCAAAUAUUUAUUCAAUCCCCAUACAUUCAGAACUUCAAACAUCUGCUGAGGCCAUUGAAAUUCACUUUUCUUCAGGGAAUUAUCUCUCUUAGGAGCUGUUAGCCAAUUGUGCUUAUUCAGAUACAAUGAAAACUUGCUCUCAAUGCAACCUUAGCUUUUGGCAUAUCAAAUAAAACUAAACUCUUUAUUAUAUGUAUUUUUAAAUUCACUUUUCUUACCUUAACAAAAGAAUACCAAUGCCUUCAAAUUGUCUGUAGGAUAAAAAUUGUGUUAGUGAUGUGUGUGUGUGUGUGAUGGGAAAUAAAGGCAUAGGGAGAGAAGGAAUAGCUUCCCUUGAUUUUUGUAUGACUGUCCAUGUCUCAGAUGAAACAUGUGAUUCCCUAAGAGACUCAGUUUCACUAAAAUGUUAAUAUAUCUGGUCACAGUGUUUUUAACAACUACUGAAUAUCAUAAUAAACUGAGAACUGUAGACAGAAGCUAUGUGGGUUACAAAGAAAUACGUCUUGUAACUUAAAAAUAACUCAACCAGUCAAAGAAAUUUUGAAACAACAAACAAAUUCUGAAAGCAAAUACUUAAUAUCAGUGUAGUACUAUCCCAGGCAGGAACUCAUCUGAGGAUGCUUUCUCACAGUCACUGUGAAUUUCUGCCCUCCCUUCCUAGCAGAGCAACAACUCUCUCCUUACAGAAUUGGCUGCAACCAAAUUCUUCUUAGACCAACCACACAGACCACAGCUUUCAUGAUAAAGUUGCACUGUGCUGGGCAGCUUCUUUCUUUGUCCAGGGUAGGAAAGAGGCAGAUCUGUAUCUUCUAAGAGGAGAUGGCAUGCUUCACCUCCACUCUCAAGCUACAAAGAUUUCACUAUUAUAUGUAAUUAAAAGGUCUGUCUUUUCAAAUAGCACUGGGUAUGAUUAUUUAUGAAAUAACUUUAAAAUUGUGGUUGAAGAGAUGAAUUGCAUGUUUAAUUAGGUUAAUAAUGAUUUUUAAUAACUAUUAAAUUAUAAUAAUAAUUAGGUUUUUGCAAGGAGUAGGUAUACUGAGGUCAUUCACAUACCUUCUUGCACACCUAUUCGUAUGCUAGCUUAAUGUUUGAGAGAUGUCUGUACUUGUGGUCUUUACUGAACAUUUAAGUUUAUCAUGCAAGCCUAACAAUAGUUUCUCUAAGCGAAUACUUAAUUUGUAUGCUUAGAACUCAAGGAAAUCAUGGCUUUCAAAGUGAAGAUACUCAAGGGAAGAAUUAAAACUUCAUUCAAAUGACAUGAUCUAAAAUUAUGCUUCUGAAUAUCAUACUUCAGGGUUUUGCAUGAAAAAACCAGUGGAAAAUAUGGUCAUCCAAAGCUACAUAUUUGUAUUGUGAUCAACCUAAUUUUUGAAGGCCCAGGGCUUAUCUCUAGGGUAUGUAAUAAAAGCUGUGAGUAAAUGAUAUUGAGAUUCUUAUAUGAAAGGAUUUUUUAAAGACCUGAACCACAGAGCACUGAUUGUUUAUUCCCAGUUGUUUAGGCAGUUUUAAAUCAGUUCUCAAAUGAAAAAGAGAAGAUCUAAGUAAACCUUUUAAUAGUUUCCUGUUCCUGAAUUCCUGUACCUGGAAUUCAAUAUACAUGACAGUUCUACUAUUGAGAAAACAUCUGUUUUGGUCCUUUCUUUGCCAAUUCAUAUUUUCUGAGCCUUCAAUUCCCUGCAAAUCAGCUAUGGGAAAAAAGACUGGCUAAGAGAAAUAAUACUAAUUUUCUCUGCCUCCCAAUUUAUGUGAGAGAAUGCAGUUUUCAUGUCUUCCUUGGCACACCAUCAUAGCAAUUUUUCCAGGCACCUGCUAUCAUAUGCUUUGCUCAGUGAAAUUAUUCUGUCUUCAUGCAUUCAAUUACACUCAUUCUACUCAUAAAUAAUCUAAAAUAAAUUGCAGAUGGUACAUGUUGACUCAAAUUAGGUGAAUCUCUCCAAUAUAUAGUUUUUAAGAUGUUUGGGUUUUGUCCUUCUUUCACAGAGAAAAGGUGCAAGAAUAAGUAUAGGCUGAUAUAAAUGUUGGCUACAGGAAUGUGGAAUAAUCAUGAGUAGAUUAAUGCACAAUGAAGACAUGCCUGGAGGCUGUUUUAACUUGAACAGUUGAUAUAAGCCUUUUUGCUUCUUUUCACGUGUAUACAAUUUUAAGAAUAAAAUUAUGUAUCUGAA